CACGUAGGGGGGCAAGCGUUGUCCGGAUUUAUUGGGCGUAAAGAGCUCGUAGGUGGUUCGGUAAGUCGGGUGUUAAACCCCCAGGCUCAACCUGGGGACGCCACUCGAUACUGCUGUGACUAGAGUCCGGUAGGGGAGCGUGGAAUUCCUGGUGUAGCGGUGAAAUGCGCAGAUAUCAGGAGGAACACCAGCAGCGAAGGCGGCGCUCUGGGCUGGAACUGACGCUGAGGAGCGAAAGCGUGGGUAGCAAACAGG
rnacentral:rRNA from 1 species